UGGGGGCAUUUAGCCCAGAAAUGGGGGUCAGGGUAGACUUCCUGGAGUGGUGUGGAAGGCUAAGUGGGGGGUAAGGAAGGCAGGGAGGGCCUUCCAGGAAGAGCCCCUGCAUGACUAAAGCUGCAGAGGUGGAAACAGCUGGGUGUGGGGUCAUCUCUAGAGCUAAAGGACAGGAUGCCUGCCUGAGCUGUGGGGCUGUAUCCAAUGCCUCUCCUCCGCCCAUUGGGCCUUUCUGGUCUGACCAGGCACCCUCUUCCUGUGGAUGUACUGGCCCAGCUUCAAUUCAGCCAUAUCCUACCACGGGGACAGCCAGCACCGAGCCGCCAUCAACACCUACUGCUCCUUGGCAGCCUGCGUGCUUACCUCGGUGGCAAUAUCCAGUGCCCUGCACAAGAAGGGCAAGCUGGACAUGGUGCACAUCCAGAAUGCCACGCUCGCAGGAGGGGUGGCCGUGGGUACCGCUGCUGAGAUGAUGCUCAUGCCUUACGGCGCCCUCAUCGUCGGCUUCGUCUGCGGCAUCAUCUCCACCCUGGGUUUUGUAUACCUGACCGUAAGUGCCCCAGGCAAGGGGCUGGGGGCUGGAGAAUG
rnacentral:sRNA from 1 species